rnacentral:rRNA from 1 species
AGAGUUUGAUCCUGGCUCAGGAUGAACGCUAGCUACAGGCUUAACACAUGCAAGUCGAGGGGAAACGACAUCGAAAGCUUGCUUUUGAUGGGCGUCGACCGGCGCACGGGUGAGUAACGCGUACCCAACCUGCCCAUCACUUGGGGAUAACCUUGCGAAAGUAAGACUAAUACCCAAUGAUAUCUCUAGAAGGCAUCUGAAAGAGAUUAAAGAUUUAUCGGUGAUGGAUAGGGAUGCGUCUGAUUAGCUUGUUGGCGGGGUAACGGCCACCAAAGCAACGAUCAGUAGGGGUUCUGACGAGGAAGGUCCCCACAUUGGAACGUGAGACACGGUCCAAACUCCGUACGGGAGGCGA